rnacentral:lncRNA from 1 species
CCGUAUCAGCUGCCGGCACACGUCUGUCCGCCCGCACGGCACCGCGUAAAAAGCUUUCCAUUACCACUUUCCGUGCGGUUUGUGCAGUUGGGUGCGCUGCACCCCAUCAUACUGGAAUACAAGUGUCAACAUGAUGUGUUUCAUAUCACUUCACCAAGGUCCUUGACCUAAUAUCGUCGAAUACCGUACCUGCAACCAAGAGCCGCCGAAUAAAACCCACGCCGCACGCUCGACGAUCCGCUGAUUGCAAUGACGAUGGCACCGACGGAAACGCGUCGAGUCGCCGUCGCGCCCGUAAAGUUGGCUU